GACGAAGGGGAUCCCCCGGUUUGGCUGUUCUGGCUGUUGUUGCUGCUACUUUGGCUGGAGCCACUGCCACUCCCACUGCCAGCUAGUCAUGCAACCAACCAACCAACAAGGGCAUGUGUGAACGUCGAUCAAAACGCCAAACCUUUCAAACCUUGAAUAAUUCAGAUCUGCUCUAAAGAUUGAAAAAGAUGAAGAAGAACGAGAGAAAAAUAGAGAGAGAGAAAAAAAAAAUUAUAGACAUCAGGUCAACAAAGAUGUAAAAACAAAAAGAUUCAUUACAUAAAACAGCGAAAUUUUUUUCAAUCAUUAACAUGACGAAGCGUUUCAAUAAUUUUACUCAAAUACAAAGAUUCAAAUGCU